AUGUCUGCAAUUAUUGCAUUUAUCCUUGUUUUUGAGGUACAGCUGCACUUGCAAUACAUCUGUUCCAAAACUGCAAGAAGAACCUCAGACUUCCACGAUCAGAUUUUGCUGCCAAGUGCAGAAGUCCAGUUCCAAAGUAAGUUAGCAAUUUUCUGCUGCUAUUUUGCCAAAGGCAAUUAUAUAGCUGGAUGCUGGAUCAAGUUUGAGUUGACUAAUAAAGGUUUUUGCAUUGCUUUAUGCCUCCUGAACAGCCUCGUUAACAGCCGGAAGCCUUGUCCUAAGCACAAUAUGGCUCUUGAUGAGUUGUGGCAACUAACAGUAUUUCAUUCUGGUAGGUAGUAAACUGACAGCACUAAUGGUCUUGGUUUUGAACUAGAAUAUGCUGUGUUCUAGUCCCACGCCAGGACUUGAGCUCUUAGCCCUCGCUGCUCCUGCAGCGUAGCACUAGGAGAAGGCUAUGCUACUGGAGGUGAGAACUGAAGCCAAGGUCAUGCCUUGUGCUUAUCUGUGAGACUUCCAUAAACUUCACCAAACUGAAACUGCUUUUCAGAAAAAAAUGAGGAUAACCGUGCUGUUCUAAUCAAGCCCAUCUCAGUAAAAAUAUUCCAAAGCGGAUCAAGGAUCUGUUUGGUAUGUCUGUCUGCGUGCGUGCUGCUCUCUGUGUUAACAGCCACUCCUAGCAUAAAGUAUUAUAGGUGAUCUAAUAUACCGGGCAUGGGGCAGAGGACUGGGUGUAUCCUAGUUUUACGCAGCUCUGACCUCUGGCAGUAGUGCCACGUGUGGCCAUGGCAGCUCAGCCUCUCAUGAAGGCCCUCWUAUUUCAUGUGCUUCUGUACUUGAGAUGUUUGUGACUUGAUUUCAAGAGGUAUGUGGUAACUUGCAGCUAAUUACUUCAGUUUCUGCYGUGCCUCAAACUCAGGUCUUUGCAUACCCAGAAUUUUAACAAGCCCUUAAAAACUGACGCUGUUCUCUUUUUUUUUUUUAAUUUUUUUUCCCUGUAGCCUUUUUGCAAUGUGCAAAAUGCAUUGCCUCCCAGAGGAGCUGUGAACGUUAAUUGAUACUCACAAAGCACUAUGUAAAUAUUAAGUAUUAAAAGUGUAUUAACUUAUAUAGUACUUUAAAAUACCUUCAAAUGAAAAGCUCUGUCCAAGGAUUUAUAAACAGCUUGUACUUUUUGGCCUGAAGAGAGAGAAAUCUUUUUUUUAAAGGCAGAAGCUUAACUCAGAAUAUGCUCGGCUGUUUACUUGUAUAUUCAUAUUGCUCAAUAAAAUAUUUACAUUAAAAUGUAUUUUCA
rnacentral:lncRNA from 1 species